GCCUUCGUGGUGUAGUGGUCAGCACGCUGGAUGCGUAUUCCAGAGGUCCGUGGUUCGAGUCUCGGCGAAGGCG
rnacentral:tRNA from 1 species